UACGGAGGGGGCUAGCGUUGUUCGGAAUUACUGGGCGUAAAGCGCACGUAGGCGGCUUUGUAAGUUAGAGGUGAAAGCCCGGGGCUCAACUCCGGAAUUGCCUUUAAGACUGCAUCGCUAGAAUUGUGGAGAGGUAAGUGGAAUUCCGAGUGUAGAGGUGAAAUUCGUAGAUAUUCGGAAGAACACCAGUGGCGAAGGCGACUGACUGGACAAGUAUUGACGCUGAGGUGCGAAAGCGUGGGGAGCAAACAGG
rnacentral:rRNA from 1 species